rnacentral:rRNA from 1 species
UUACUUCGGUACAUCGGUGACAGGUGGUGCAUGGUUGUCGUCAGCUCGUGUCGUGAGAUGUUGGGUUAAGUCCCGCAACGAGCGCAACCCCUAUUGUUAGUUGCCAUCAUUCAGUUGGGCACUCUAGCGAGACUGCCGGUAAUAAACCGGAGGAAGGUGGGGAUGACGUCAAAUCAUCAUGCCCCUUAUGACCUGGGCUACACACGUGCUACAAUGGUUGGUACAACGAGUUGCGAGUCGGUGACGGCGAGCUAAUCUCUUAAAGCCAAUCUCAGUUCGGAUUGUAGGCUGCAACUCGCCUACAUGAAGUCGGAAUCGCUAGUAAUCGCGGAUCAGCACGCCGCGGUGAAUACGUUCCCGGGCCUU